UUAAGAUAAUAAACAUAUAAUUUCUUCCAACCAGCCUCCGGGCUCUACAUUUCUCCCAUCUGAGGAGUCUAGUUGAACAAGAAAAAGUCCUGUGACUAGCAAAGGAAGAGAUGAAUGGGUAAGAAGAUGGACCAGCUGUAAACUAAAUAGUCAUACCAGGAAUUCUUCCAGGUUGGUACCACCUCCCAGUUUAUAAUUGAGGAAACCGAGGCUCAGAAAAGUGAAGUACAUUUCUCAAAGCAUAUCUAGUGGCUACAGUUCUUCCUGAAGUGGGAGAGGCAUGACUUGAAUCCUUCCGCCGUGGCCAAGAGAUCUUUGGACAAAGCUAAAUCACAAUUCCACAGGAGGUCCUUUGACUUGUUGAGAUGUAAGCAGCUUUCACCAAAUAGCACUUUGAUGAGCUGAGCCUAAGUGAAUCAGAAACACGAGGCUGAUAUUUGUCUUCAUCUGCACAGGGGUUUGGCAGUUUCCAAAUUCCCUUGGCAAGCAGGAUUCAGGCUCUGCCAAAACCUGGGGCUCUGGCAUCAUCGUGCAGGCCUGCAGGUCAGGCCAGGCCUCCAGCCCUCCUGCUGUUCCAAUCAGAGUCCGGCCCCUUGUGGUUUCUCCUGCUGCUUCUUCCUGUCCUCAAGUCUCAGGGAUAGAACAACAGGAGGUAUCUCCAUGACUCCAGCACAUGUGGGGGCAAGAUGGC
rnacentral:lncRNA from 1 species